GAUGAACGCUGGCGGCGUGCCUAAUACAUGCAAGUCGAGCGAACAGAUGAGGAGCUUGCUCCUCUGACGUUAGCGGCGGACGGGUGAGUAACACGUGGAUAACCUACCUAUAUGACUGGGAUAACUUCGGGAAUCCGGAGCUAAUACCGGAUAAUAUAUUGAACCGCAUGGUUCAAUAGUGUAAGACGGUUUUGCUGUCACUUAUAGAUGGAUCCGCGCCGCAUUAGCUAGUUGGUAAGGUAACGGCUUACCAAGGCAACGAUGCGUAGCCGACCUGAGAGGGUGAUCGGCCACACUGGAACUGAGACACGGUCCAGACUCCUACGGGAGGCAGCAGUAGGGAAUCUUCCGCAAUGGGCGAAAGCCUGACGGAGCAACGCCGCGUGAGUGAUGAAGGUCUUCGGAUCGUAAAACUCUGUUAUUAGGGAAGAACAAAUGUGUAAGUAACUAUGCACGUCUUGACGGUACCUAAUCAGAAAGCCACGGCUAACUACGUG
rnacentral:rRNA from 1 species